GGAUGAACGCUGGCGGCGUGCUUAACACAUGCAAGUCGAACGGUGAAGGCGGAGCUUGCUCUGCUGGAUCAGUGGCGAACGGGUGAGUAACACGUGAGCAAUCUGCCCCUGACUCUGGGAUAAGCGCUGGAAACGGCGUCUAAUACUGGAUACGAGCUGCGAAGGCAUCUUCAGCAGCUGGAAAGAACUUCGGUCAGGGAUGAGCUCGCGGCCUAUCAGCUUGUUGGUGAGGUAACGGCUCACCAAGGCGUCGACGGGUAGCCGGCCUGAGAGGGUGACCGGCCACACUGGGACUGAGACACGGCCCAGACUCCUACGGGAGGCAGCAGUGGGGAAUAUUGCACAAUGGGCGAAAGCCUGAUGCAGCAACGCCGCGUGAGGGACGACGGCCUUCGGGUUGUAAACCUCUUUUAGCAGGGAAGAAGCGAAAGUGACGGUACCUGCAGAAAAAGCGCCGGCUAACUACGUG
rnacentral:rRNA from 1 species